GGAAUCUUCCACAAUGGACGAAAGUCUGAUGGAGCAACGCCGCGUGAGUGAAGAAGGUUUUCGGAUCGUAAAACUCUGUUGUUGGAGAAGAACACGUUUGAGAGUAACUGUUCACGCAGUGACGGUAUCUAACCAGAAAGUCACGGUUAACUACGUGCCAGCAGCCGCGGUAAUACGUAUGUCCCGAGCGUUAUCCGGAUUUAUUGGGCGUAAAGCGAGCGCAGGCGGUUUCUUAAGUCUGAUGUGAAAGCCUUCGGCUUAACCGAAGAAGUGCAUCGGAAACUGGGAAACUUGAGUGCAGAAGAGGACAGUGGAACUCCAUGUGUAGCGGUGAAAUGCGUAGAUAUAUGGAAGAACACCAGUGGCGAAGGCGGCUGUCUGGUCUGUAACUGACGCUGAGGCUCGAAAGCAUGGGUAGCCAACA
rnacentral:rRNA from 1 species